rnacentral:misc_RNA from 1 species
AAGGAAUCAUAUUUUUACUGUGAACCAGGGCCAUAAACCAUAUCAAAGUGAUUCAACAAAUAAUAAACAGAAGUUCAUCUUUUAUUUCUACCAAAUUUGGAAAAUCUGUGUUUCUGCUGUCAUAUAUGGAGAAUUUCAUAUUUUCUCUUUCAUUUUACCCACUUGUUUUUGCAUUAUUUCAGUAGCAGAUACAGUCUAAAUCAGAUGCUGAGGAAGCCCUUCUCCUUCAAGCUUUCAAUAGUGUCUCUAAGAGUCACUUCCAAAGGAAUGAAGCUGAUUCCCAAUGUUUUUGCCUUCUCCAUUGAUACCAUGUACGUUGACAUGGACAAGUUGUUGAGGUCAUUGGUAACACAUCUGCAAUGGUUGAAAACCACAUAUAUGAACCAUUAGUUAUCAGAUUCUCAGAGAAAUUACAAUUAGGAAACAAGCCAUGUAGAAGAAAUAAUGAAAGGAUUACAAUAUGUUCUGUUAGAGAUAUAAAACUAUUCUUGGGGCCCUCACCUAUAAGCUUAAGCUUUUAGGUUGAGUUUUUUCUUGACAAGAGUAAAUACAUUGAUACUGGAAUUCAAGAAGAUAAUAAUAGUGGAACUUAAGUGGAUGAUCAGAAAAUCUAGAAGGAUAACGAGCAGUCACGUUGCUAAUGAUCAACUCAAAAAGUCCAACUAUAUUGGCACAGAUACAAAUACUGAACCAAAACUUAAAAAAUAAUAAUAAAGAGAUAUUUGAUGAAACAAGGGUUGUCUGCAAAGAGGAAGUCAUGAAACAGAAUUGGUAUGGUUAUCUUACAAACCAUCCGCCACAGAAAGUCAAUUUCUCAACAAUCAACAUUACAACCAGCUCAGUUCAUUACCAGAAAACCAAAAUAUACAACUAAUAUGAAAACACAACUUAUAACUAACUAAUUGGUUGAUAACCACACAAGAAAAAAAAGGAAUAGGGAUACUAGGAAAAGAUCUUAAAUUCUCAGCACCUUAACACUGGAAACUUAUAAUAUCUAAAGACCUGGUUAUCCAGAUCCGAGAUUUAGGUGCUCGUUUGUGUAGAUUGGGACCGAUUUAGUAAAAGGUAGGUUUACCAGUGCUGGUUUAUGUAAAUCUGAAAGCUAUUCAAAUAGGACAAACAACAAAAAAAUUGAAAAAGCCUAGCCUCAUUGGAGUUUUUUACAAGGUUUUUUUAAAAACUUAACCUCACUUCCUGCACAAAUUGAUAAUUCUUCCGAGUAUCUAGUACAAGUGUUUGUUCCACAUUCUCAGGUGGCAACCCAUCUCAUUGAUAAUCAGUAAUUCUUCAUCCCUAAGCUCCUGUCAUUCUCCCAGACAGUGCUUCAAAUACAGAUGUCACUGCCCAUUUAAAAGCAAAUCUCAGAAUCCAAAUCCAGAGUGAUUUUAGAAUAGCAAUUCUAAAAUCUUGAUGCAAGAUUGUCAAUUUUCCAUCACUUUAGGGCUCUUGAGCAUCACACCAAGAGACUAGAGAAUCACCACACAAGGAGCUAACACUUCGCUCAUUCUUCCCUCUCAAGACAUGUGAUCAUAUCACUUAGACUCGAAUAGCCUUCCCAAAAUUUGGCGCUCAGAAACCAUGUGGAACAAUCGUACUUGGCCAUUAAACUAGACAACAAAUUUGGACUGUCCAACAUGCAAUUAAACUAAGCUACAAGCAAACCUAUGUAACUAGCUGCAUGAGCCAAAGAUUAAAGACCAAAUUAGCUCAUUAAUUCCCUCAGCCUGAAAGAGCUGCUUGCACAUUUCCUUUCUAAUAUAUUACAACUUGCUAAUGCAAUAAUGUAAUUCUAGAGAGCAACAUCCAGCUCCAGGGCUUUGAAACUGGUCUGGUUGGUUCCUACUACCAUUAUCAAAAAAUUUUUACUCUACAAACUACUGCUGUUAACAAACUUGGCAUUGCAUCACUAAUUCAAUGUCACAGUAUGACUAAAACCACCCUAUCCUCACACCCAUCACAGUUAUAAUAAAAUAAAAUGUCAGGACCCAUCAAGGUAUCUUUAAUUUUUUUUUCCUUCUCUUUUCUUUUGGUUAUUAAGUCAAAGAAUCAUUAGAAUUGGCAGAGGGCUAAUCACCGGUCAGCCAUGGGCUGCACUUUGACUUAAAUUACAACUCAAUGAAUUGAUCAAAGCCCAGAGUUAGCCUCACAAAUCACAACUGGUCACCACAAAGCCAAAGCCCGGCCCAACCCAAUAUAAUAUAAUAAUUAGGAAUAGGCUUUACUUAAAAAUAAUAGAAAACAGAAAUUUCAUUAAGUCUUUUACGCAUCUAAUUCUAAACAUAGGAAGUGUGGCUACAUAAAAUAGCAUCAAACUG